rnacentral:rRNA from 1 species
AUACGGAGGGUGCGAGCGUUAAUCGGAAUUACUGGGCGUAAAGCGUACGUAGGCGGUUCGUUAAGUUAGAUGUGAAAGCCCCGGGCUUAACCUGGGAACUGCAUUUAAAACUGGCGAACUAGAGUUGAGUAGAGGGGAGUGGAAUUUCAGGUGUAGCGGUGAAAUGCGUAGAGAUCUGAAGGAACACCAGUGGCGAAGGCGGCUCCCUGGACUCAAACUGACGCUGAGGUACGAAAGCGUGGGUAGCAAACGGGAUUAGAAACCCCAGUAGUCC